GAUGAACGCUAGCGGCAGGCCUAAUACAUGCAAGUCGAACGGUGUAGCAAUACACAGUGGCGCACGGGUGCGUAACACGUAUGCAACCUACCUUACAUUGGGGAUAGCCUUUCGAAAGGGAGAUUAAUACCGCAUAAGACAGUAACUAGGCAUCUAGUAGCUGUUAAAGAUUUAUCGAUGUAAGCUGGGCAUGCGUCCAAUUAGUUAGUUGGCGAGGUAAUGGCUCACCAAGACGAUGAUUGUUAGGGGAACUGAGAGGUCAAUCCCCCACACUGGCACUGAGAUACGGGCCAGACUCCUACGGGAGGCAGCAGUAGGGAAUAUUGGGCAAUGGGCGCAAGCCUGACCCAGCCAUGCCGCGUGCAGGAAGAAGGCGUUAUGCGUUGUAAACUGCUUUUAUACAGGAAGAAACGACCCUUGCGAGGGGCAUUGACGGUACUGUAUGAAUAAGCACCGGCUAACUCCGUGCCAGCAGCCGCCGCAGUAA
rnacentral:rRNA from 1 species